GACGAACGCUGGCGGCGUGCCUAAUACAUGCAAGUCGAACGCAAAACUUUCACCGAAUGCUUGCAUUCGCGAAAGUUUUGAGUGGCGAACGGGUGAGUAACACGUGGGUAACCUGCCCAGAAGAGGGGGAUAACACGUGGAAACAGGUGCUAAUACCGCAUAAUAACAAAAACCGCAUGGUUUUGGUUUGAAAGAUGGUUUGGCUAUCACUUCUGGAUGGACCCGCGGCGUAUUAGAUAGUUGGUAAGGUAAAGGCUUACAAAGGCAAUGAUACGUAGACGAACUGAGAGGUUGAUCGGCCACAUUGGGACUGAGAAACGGCCCAAACUCCUACGGGAGGGAGCAGUAGGGAAUCUUCCACAAUGGACGAAAGUCUGAUGGAGCAACGCCGCGUGAGUGAAGAAGGUUUUCGGAUCGUAAAACUCUGUUGUUAGAGAAGAACGUGUGUGAGAGUAACUGCUCGUGCAGUGACGGUAUCUAACCAGAAAGCCACGGCUAACUACGUGCCAGCAGCCGCCGUAA
rnacentral:rRNA from 1 species